UUCGCAAUGCCCGAAAGGGUGACGAAGCGACGCCGCGUGUGGGAAGAAGGCCUUCGGGUUGUAAACCACUGUCGGGAGUUAAGAAAUGUAAGGGUGUUAAUAGUAUCCUUACUUGACUAAGGCUCCGGAGGAAGCCACGGCUAACUCUGUGCCAGCAGCCGCGGUAAUACAGAGGCGGCAAGCGUUGUUCGGAAUUAUUGGGCGUAAAGAGCACGUAGGCGGCUAUGUAAGUCGGUUGUAAAAGCCUUCCGCUCAACGGGAGAACAGCAGCCGACACUGCAUGGCUUGAGUGCGGGAGGGGAGAGCGGAACUUCUGGUGGAGCGGUGAAAUGCGUAGAUAUCAGAAGGAACGCCGGCGGCGAAAGCGACUCUCUGGCCCGUAACUGACGCUGAGUGUGCGAAAGCUAGGGGAGCAAACGGGAUUAGAUACCCCGGUAGUCCUAGCCGUAAACGAUGGGCACUAAGUAGAGGGGUUUU
rnacentral:rRNA from 1 species